rnacentral:rRNA from 1 species
AACCUCCGCAAUGUGAGAAAUCGCGACGGGGGGAUCCCAAGUGCCAUUCUUAACGGGAUGGCUUUUCAUUAGUGUAAAGAGCUUUUGGAAUAAGAGCUGGGCAAGACCGGUGCCAGCCGCCGCGGUAACACCGGCAGCUCUAGUGGUAACAAUUUUUAUUGGGCCUAAAGCGUCCGUAGCCGGUUUAAUAAGUCUCUGGUGAAAUCCUGUAGCUUAACUGUGGGAAUUGCUGGAGAUACUAUUAGACUUGAGACCGGGAGAGGUUAGAGGUACUCCCAGGGUAGAGGUGAAAUUCUGUAAUCCUGGGAGGACCGCCUGUUGCGAAGGCGUCUAACUGGAACGGUUCUGACGGUGAGGGACGAAAGUUAGGGGCGCGAACCGGAUUAGAUACCCGGGUAGUCCUAACCGUAAACGAUGCGGACUUGGUGUUGGGGUGGCUUUGAGCUGCUCCAGUGCCGAAGGGAAGCUGUUAAGUCCGCCGCCUGGGAAGUACGGUCGCAAGACUGAAACUUAAAGGAAUU